CCUCUGUUUUUUGAAACGUUUGCCCCCUAUAUUGGGGGUGCCGGUUCGCCGGCUAUGGAAAUAAACGGUCGUCGCAAUAAACCAUUCGGACCCGGGGGCGGUACCCGGCGCCUCCACCAAAGCCCACCGGAUAGCGGGCUCCGGCCCGCGCAAAAAAAAGCGGGCUUUGGCGGGGGCGAAAUAGGAUCGACGAGGGCGUAAAGGGCGUACUUUUUCCCGGUAUUGUUCCGCCGUUAUCGGGCUACUGCAAUAGUUGCCAACGACAACUUUGCUCCGGUUGCUCAGGCUGCGUAACGCAGUUUGAAAGACCACUCUAAAGUCCUAGUGGGUUAAGCUCCGCUAGGCGGGGUUCGGAGGCACCUGGCAACAGAAGCCUCCACU
rnacentral:tmRNA from 1 species